UACGUAGGGGGCAAGCGUUGUCCGGAUUUAUUGGGCGUAAAGAGCGUGUAGGCGGCUUUACAGGUCCGUUGUGAAAACUCGAGGCUCAACCUCGAGACGCCGGUGGAAACCGUAAAGCUAGAGUCCGGAAGAGGAGAGUGGAAUUCCUGGUGUAGCGGUGAAAUGCGCAGAUAUCAGGAGGAACACCCGUGGCGAAAGCGGCUCUCUGGGACGGUACUGACGCUGAGACGCGAAAGCUAGGGGAGCGAACGGG
rnacentral:rRNA from 1 species